CUUAUGGCCAAGUUCAAAUCAGAUCUCAGAGACCUGCGGGCAGAAAUACUGAGUACCCAGCUGAUCCAGAUGUUGUGUACUCAUCAGUGAGAGCAGGAACAUGAAGAUAAACAGCUGGAGGAGCUUCACGUCUUUCCAACCUGAAUCUUUUAUUUUGAGUG